GUCAGGGUAGCUCAGUUGGUUAGAGCGCGGGACUCAUAAGCCCGAGGUCGCGGGUUCGACCCCCGCCCCUGACA
rnacentral:tRNA from 1 species